UACGUAGGGUGCAAGCGUUGUCCGGAAUUAUUGGGCGUAAAGAGCUCGUAGGCGGUUUGUUGCGUCGGCUGUGAAAUCCCGAGGCUCAACCUCGGGUCUGCAGUCGAUACGAGCAAACUAGAGUGUUGCAGGGGGAGACUGGAAUUCCUGGUGUAGCGGUGAAAUGCGCAGAUAUCAGGAGGAACACCGGUGGCGAAGGCGGGCUACUGGGCCGAUACUGACGCUGAUGCGCGAAAGCCAGGGGAGCGAACGGG
rnacentral:rRNA from 1 species